rnacentral:miRNA from 1 species
UGUAAAUGGUUGGAAUCUGGUAU